rnacentral:tRNA from 1 species
GGCCUAAUGGCCCAAUGGCAAGGCGCUUGACUACGAUUACGUAACAAUCAAGAGAUUCCAGGUUCGACCCCUGGUUAGGUCA